UGUUCUGUGGCUUAGUUGGUUAAAGCGCCGGUCUAGCGAAUACGGAGUCGUGGGUUCGAAUCCCACCAGAUCGU
rnacentral:tRNA from 1 species